CGCAUAACGUCGCAAGACCAAAGAGGGGGACCUUCGGGCCUCUUGCCAUCGGAUGUGCCCAGAUGGGAUUAGCUAGUAGGUGGGGUAACGGCUCACCUAGGCGACGAUCCCUAGCUGGUCUGAGAGGAUGACCAGCCACACUGGAACUGAGACACGGUCCAGACUCCUACGGGAGGCAGCAGUGGGGAAUAUUGCACAAUGGGCGCAAGCCUGAUGCAGCCAUGCCGCGUGUAUGAAGAAGGCCUUCGGGUUGUAAAGUACUUUCAGCGGGGAGGAAGGGAGUAAAGUUAAUACCUUUGCUCAUUGACGUUACCCGCAGAAGAAGCACCGGCUAACUCCGUGCCAGCAGCCGCGGUAAUACGGAGGGUGCAAGCGUUAAUCGGAAUUACUGGGCGUAAAGCGCACGCAGGCGGUUUGUUAAGUCAGAUGUGAAAUCCCCGGGCUCAACCUGGGAACUGCAUCUGAUACUGGCAAGCUUGAGUCUCGUAGAGGGGGGUAGAAUUCCAGGUGUAGCGGUGAAAUGCGUAGAGAUCUGGAGGAAUACCGGUGGCGAAGGCGGCCCCCUGGACGAAGACUGACGCUCAGGUGCGAAAGCGUGGGGAGCAACCAGGAUUAGAUACCCUGGUAGUCCACGCCGUAAACGAUGUCGACUUGGAGGUUGUGCCCUUGAGGCGUGGCUUCCGGAGCUAACGCGUUAAGUCGACCGCCUGGGGAGUACGGCCGCAAGGUUAAAACUCAAAUGAAUUGACGGGGGCGCGCACAAGCGGUGGAGCAUGUGGUUUAAUUCGAUGCAACGCGAAGAACCUUACCUGGUCUUGACAUCCACGGAAGUUUUCAGAGAUGAGAAUGUGCCUUCGGGAACCGUGAGACAGGUGCUGCAUGGCUGUCGUCAGCUCGUGUUGUGAAAUGUUGGGUUAAGUCCCGCAACGAGCGCAACCCUUAUCCUUUGUUGCCAGCGGUCCGGCCGGGAACUCAAAGGAGACUGCCAGUGAUAAACUGGAGGAAGUGUGGGGAUGACGUCAAGUCAUCAUGGCCCUUACGACCAGGGCUACACACGUGCUACAAUGGCGCAUACAAAGAGAAGCGACCUCGCGAGAGCAAGCGGACCUCAUAAAGUGCGUCGUAGUCCGGAUUGGAGUCUGCAACUCGACUCCAUGAAGUCGGAAUCGCUAGUAAUCGUGGAUCAGAAUGCCACGGUGAAUACGUUCCCGGGCCUUGUACACACCGCCCGUCACACCAUGGGAGUGGGUUGCAAAAGAAGUAGGUAGCUUAACCUUCGGGAGGGCGCUUGCCCCUUUGUGAUUCAUGGCUGGGGUGAAGUCGUCACAAGGUA
rnacentral:rRNA from 1 species